UACGGAGGGGGCUAGCGUUGUUCGGAAUUACUGGGCGUAAAGGGCGCGUAGGCGGCGCGAUAAGUUGGGCGUGAAAGGCCCGGGCUCAACCCGGGGGACUGCGCUUGAUACUGUCGCGCUGUGAGUCCGGGAGAGGAUGGCGGAAUUCCCAGUGUAGAGGUGAAAAUUCGUAGAUAUUGGGAAGAACACCGGUGGCGAAGGCGGCCAUCUGGACCGGCACUGGACGCUGAGGCGCGAAAAGCGUGGGGGAGCAAACAGG
rnacentral:rRNA from 1 species